GUGACUAGUGAAACACCUGAUAAUAUUACCCAAUAGAACCUAAGUGCCCACAUGGGUAUUUAUGUUCUAAUCUAACCUAGCCAAACUUUAGAUUUUGGCGCCCUUCUUCUUCCUCUGGGAUUUUACGAUUACAUCGAAUGAGUGUGAAUGAAAUCU